rnacentral:rRNA from 1 species
AGAGUUUGAUCAUGGCUCAGAACGAACGCUGGCGGCAGGCCUAACACAUGCAAGUCGAACGCCUCGCAAGGGGAGCGGCAGACGGGUGAGUAACACGUGGGAACCUGCCCAAAGGUACGGAACAACCCCGGGAAACUGGAACUAAUACCGUAUGUGCCCCAGGGGUGAAAGAUUUAUCGCCUUUGGAUGGGCCCGCGUCUGAUUAGCUAGUUGGUGGGGUAAUGGCCUACCAAGGCAACGAUCAGUAGCUGGUCUGAGAGGAUGAACAGCCACACUGGGACUGAGACACGGCCCAGACUCCUACGGGAGGCAGCAGUGGGGAAUAUUGGACAAUGGGGGAAACCCUGAUCCAGCCAUGCCGCGUGAGUGAAGAAGGCCUUAGGGUUGUAAAGCUCUUUUGGCGGGGAAGAUAAUGACGGUACCAGGAGAAUAAGCCCCGGCUAACUUCGUGCCAGCAGCCGCGGUAAUAC